rnacentral:rRNA from 1 species
AUUGAACGCUGGCGGCAGGCCUAACACAUGCAAGUCGAACGAGUGGCGGACGGGUGAGUAAUGUCUGGGAAACUGCCCGAUGGAGGGGGAUAACUACUGGAAACGGUAGCUAAUACCGCAUACCAUCGGAUGUGCCCAGAUGGGAUUAGCGAGUAGGUGGGGUAACGGCUCACCUAGGGGACGAUCCCUAGCUGGGCUGAGAGGAUGACCAGCCACACUGGAACUGAGACACGGUCCAGACGCCUACGGGAGGCAGCAGUGGGGAAUAUAGCACAAUGUGCGCAAGCCUGAUGCAGCCAUGCCGCGUGUAGGAAGAAGGCCUUCGGGUUGUAAAGUACUUUCAGCGGGGAGGCGUUACCCGCAGAAGAAGCACCGGCUAACUCCGUGCCAGCAGCCGCGGUAAUAC